GGAGAGGUGGCUCAGUGGUUAAGAGCACUGGCUGGUCUUCCAGAGGUCCUGAGUUCAAAUCCCAGCAACCACA
rnacentral:tRNA from 1 species